UUUGGCCUACGGGACGCAGCAGUGGGGAAUAUUGCACAAUGGGGGAAACCCUGAUGCAGCCACGCCGCGUGAGUGAAGAAGUAUUUCGGUAUGUAAAGCUCUAUCAGCAGGGAAGAAAAUGACGGUACCUGAGUAAGAAGCCCCGGCUAACUACGUGCCAGCAGCCGCGGUAAUACGUAGGGGGCAAGCGUUAUCCGGAUUUACUGGGUGUAAAGGGAGCGUAGACGGCGAUACAAGUCUGAAGUGAAAGC
rnacentral:rRNA from 1 species